rnacentral:rRNA from 1 species
GACGAACGCUGGCGGCGCGCUUAACACAUGCAAGUCGAGCGAUGAAAUUUCGACAGAUCCCUUCGGGGUGAAGAUGAAAUGGAUUAGCGGCGGACGGGUGGGUAACACGUGAGUAACCUGCCUUUGACAUUGGGAUAGCCUCGGGAAACUGGGAUUAAUACCAAAUGACACUAACUGAUCACAUGAUCAAUUAGUCAAAGAAAUUCGGUCAAAGAUGGACUCGCGGCUGAUUAGCUAGUUGGUGAGGUAACGGCCCACCAAGGCGACGAUCAGUAGCCGGCCUGAGAGGGUGAUCGGCCACAUUGGAACUGAGACACGGUCCAAACUCCUACGGGAGGCAGCAGUGGGGAAUAUUGCACAAUGGGGGAAACCCUGAUGCAGCGACGCCGCGUGAGCGAAGAAGGCCUUCGGGUCGUAAAGCUCUUUUAUGAGGGAAGAUAAUGACGGUACCUCAAGAAAAAGCCCCGGCUAACUACGUG